CAGAUGGAGCCUGGGAACUGUGAUGUCACAGCCCACGCUCCAGCUGGAACGUCCAGCGCCCAGCAAAGGGCACAACACAACCAUUGGCCGCUGUGUUUGCACACUAUUCACCUUGCUCCUGCCCACUCUGCUUGUCACCUGCCCCCUGAUAAGCCCAUCACUCCUGAAAGAUUCUUAGUGCCUGGAUUUUGUCAUCCAGGCCUGCAGGAUGCUCCCAUUUGUUCUGAGGAAGGCUGUCCCAGACGGAGAGGAGGAGAUGGAGGUAGAUGCAAAGAUUGAUAUGGAGGUGGAGAUGGAGGUGGAUGUGGAUGUGGAAGAAGAGAUGGACGUUGAUAUGGACGAGUCCAUUGAGGACAUGGACAUUGAUUAAAAAGGUGCGAUGGACAUCACAGAGACAUCACCCUUUUGUAUAUACGUUCUACAGUUUGUUGUUUUUCUUUAGAAUAUAGAGUUUAGGGCAAUUUUUGACUUCUGUAAAUACGUUUCCCAUAGUUUUGCUAGGUAGGUUUUUAUGUAUAUAUGUUUUAUCGAUUGUUGUUGUUGCAAAUAUU